UACGGGGGGGGCAAGCGGUUGUUCGGAAUUACUGGGCGUAAAGGGCUCGUAGGCGGCCAACUAAGUCGGAUGUGAAAUCCCCAGGCUUAACCUGGGAACUGCAUCCGAUACUGGAUGGCUUGAAUCCGGGAGAGGGAUGCAGAAUUCCAGGUGUAGCGGUGAAAUGCGUAGAUAUCUGGAGGAAUACCGGUGGCGAAGGCGGCAUCCUGGACCGGCAUUGACGCUGAUGAGCGAAAGCUAGGGGGAGCAAACGGGG
rnacentral:rRNA from 1 species